GCUUUUUUAGUUUAUAUAAAACACUAUAUUGUGGUAAUAGAGAAGUAUCACUACAAAAAGCA
rnacentral:tRNA from 1 species